UCCUGGGGUUGCUUUAUGGCCUCAGUAUGUAAGGUCCUCCCUCCACAGUUGGUGAUAAAAACCAGCAGGAGUAUUCCCUUUUGCUUUUCUUGCAAGCGCUCUUUCUUGUUGAAAUUCAUUUAAGCUUCAGCUUUGAGAUUUUUGUUGUUUCAAGAACAUUUCAUGCAUAGAACUUAACUGGCUACACUGAGAUUCACCCAUGUUGCUGAGUGCUGAAAUUGAACUUAGGGAGCGCUGAACUACAGCCCUGGCC